rnacentral:rRNA from 1 species
UACGGAGGAUGCGAGCGUUAUCCGGAUUUACUGGGUGUAAAGGGCGUGUAGGCGGGAAAGCAAGUCAGAUGUGAAAACCACGGGCUCAACCUGUGGCCUGCAUCUGAAACUGUUUUUCUUGAGUACUGGAGAGGCAGACGGAAUUCCUUGUGUAGCGGUGAAAUGCGUAGAUAUAAGGAGGAACACCAGCGGCGAAGGCGGCCUGCUGGACAUUAACUGACGCUGAGGCGCGAAAGCGUGGGGAGCAAACAGG